CUACCAGGCCUUACUAAGCUGAAUCAAGUGUAAUUAUCUGUUCUUAUCAGUUUAAUAUCUGAUAUGUCCUCUAUAUAGGAGACUACAUAAUCACUCUGAUUUUGUAGAGGCAGAAAUUUAGACUUGCUCCUUUUCUCUCCGCAUCGACCUAGCAUUGCAGUGCCGCUGGAGCAGUGCCUCUGUU